UACGUAGGGUGCGAGCGUUGUCCGGAAUUAUUGGGCGUAAAGAGCUCGUAGGCGGUUUGUCGCGUCGGGAGUGAAAACCUACAGCUUAACUGUGGGCUUGCUUUCGAUACGGGCAGACUAGAGGUAUGCAGGGGAGAACGGAAUUCCUGGUGUAGCGGUGAAAUGCGCAGAUAUCAGGAGGAACACCGGUGGCGAAGGCGGUUCUCUGGGCAUUACCUGACGCUGAGGAGCGAAAGUGUGGGGAGCGAACAGG
rnacentral:rRNA from 1 species